rnacentral:lncRNA from 1 species
AAUAACUUUAUAAAAGUAUUCUGUUUUAUAUAAAAAGAUUUUACUAUGCAAAACACUAUGUAUAAUAGAAUAUAAUAUAUUCUAUUUAUAGUAUAAUAAAACGAAUAACUUUAUAAAAGUAUUCUAUUUUAUAUAAAAAGUUUUUCUGUUUUAUUACAUUAAUAAUGCUAAUAAAAUAAAACUUCAUCAUCAUUAUUAUAAUUCACACUAUUAAUCGACUAGGUCAUUCCCA